ACGCUCUUAGCUCAGAGGAUAGAGCAUUAGCCUUCUAAGCUAAGGGUCACAGGUUCAAUUCCUGUAGAGCGUA
rnacentral:tRNA from 1 species